CCUACGGGAGGCAGCAGUGAGGAAUAUUGGUCAAUGGGCGCGAGCCUGAACCAGCCAAGUCGCGUGAGGGAAGACGGUCCUAUGGAUUGUAAACCUCUUUUGUCGGGGAGCAAAAGACGCCACGCGUGGCGUUCCGAGAGUACCCGAAGAAAAAGCAUCGGCUAACUCCGUGCCAGCAGCCGCGGUAAUACGUAGGGGGCAAGCGUUAUCCGGAUUCACUGGGCGUAAAGGGAGCGCAGGCGGCAUGGCAAGUCUGAUGUGAAAACCCGGGGCCCAACCCCGGGAGUGCAUUGGAAACUGCCAGGCUGGAGUGUCGGAGGGGUAAGCGGAAUUCCUAGUGUAGCGGUGAAAUGCGUAGAUAUUAGGAGGAACACCAGUGGCGAAGGCGGCUUACUGGACGACUACUGACGCUGAGGCUCGAAAGCGUGGGGAGCAAACAGGAUUAGAUACCCUAGUAGUC
rnacentral:rRNA from 1 species